rnacentral:rRNA from 1 species
UAAUGGCUCACCAAGGCGACGAUCCCUAGCUGGUCUGAGAGGAUGAUCAGCCACACUGGAACUGAGACACGGUCCAGACUCCUACGGGAGGCAGCAGUGGGGAAUAUUGCACAAUGGGCGCAAGCCUGAUGCAGCCAUGCCGCGUGUGUGAAGAAGGCCUUCGGGUUGUAAAGCACUUUCAGUCGUGAGGAAGGUNGUAUAGUUAAUAGCAGCAUCAUUUGACGUUAGCGACAGAAGAAGCACCGGCUAACUCCGUGCCAGCAGCCGCGGUAAUACGGAGGGUGCGAGCGUUAAUCGGAAUUACUGGGCGUAAAGCGCAUGCAGGUGGUUUGUUAAGUCAGAUGUGAAAGCCCGGGGCUCAACCUCGGAAUAGCAUUUGAAACUGGCAGACUAGAGUACUGUAGAGGGGGGUAGAAUUUCAGGUGU